AUGACUAGUUUGUGGAGUCUAAGUGAGGAAUAUCACGAGGAGGAAGACGUGGAUUAUGAAGCCGAUGGUGAUCAGGAGAAUAUUGCUACAAGUGCAAGAUCGGACCAGAUCGUUGUAGCUGCUCCCGUUCCUUGUCCGGCUGCCCCUGCUCGUACUGCCGCGGCACCUCGCACUCGCAGCAAGCGGGCAAGGUUGAAUCAACAGGCUCCAGCAGGAUGUAACGGACGGCGUGCAAGAACUAAUGAGCCAUCCGAUGGAGAUGAAGCGAAUCAGCAGCCACCGCCACCACCACCGCCACCACCCGGACCACAGGUUAAUCCUGCGCCAAAAUUAAGGUCAAAAGCAUGGGAUAACUUCACUUUGAUUGAACAACCUGAUCCUGAUCAAGUAUUUGCUCAGUGCAAAACUUGUAAAGCCAUACUUAGAGCAAGUUCGAAAAAUGGAACAUCUCAUUUGUUAAGGCAUACUGCUAAUGUGCAUCCAUCACAUGGAACAACUUUGGAGAGUUUGUUUGCUGAAUAUAGUGGUGCUGCUGUUAGUCAAACACCAUCACAUGGUGCUACAAACAGUAGGGGAAGUAGGGGAGAUGGUUCUGAUAUGUUCGAUGACUACGAGAGUUACAUUCAAUCUCAACGGACAAAUGUAGAGAGGUCUCAAUUGGAUCUUUAUUUGGAAGAAACUCCUAGAAAAUUGAAUGACGAGUUGAAUGUCUUGGAAUUUUGGAGCAAAUCAUCUGUGCGAUACCCUGAGCUUGCAUCAAUGGCUCGGGAUAUUCUUGCUGUCCCCAUUUCUAGUGUUGCUUCGGAACAAGCCUUUAGCAUGAGUCGCAAAGUUAUAACACCUAACCGAGCUUCACUUAAGCCUAAGACCAUCGAGGCUUUAAUGUGUCUCCAAGAUUGGUAUCGUUGGAAGAUGUCUCAGAGUGAAGAAAUGAGCACUACAGGAGGUGGACCUUCAAGUUCUCAUGCAAAUGAGUUAUCUUCAGAUUCGGAAAAUGAUGAAGUUGAGAUAGCUUGA
rnacentral:rRNA from 1 species